rnacentral:rRNA from 1 species
GACGUAGGGCGCGAGCGUUGUCCGGAUUUAUUGGGCGUAAAGAGCUCGUAGGCGGUUUGGUAAGUCGGGUGUGAAAUCUCCACGCUCAACGUGGAGGGGCCACUCGAUACUGCCAUGACUCGAGUCCGGUAGAGGAGUGUGGAAUUCCCGGUGUAGCGGUGAAAUGCGCAGAUAUCAGGAGGAACACCAAUGGCGAAGGCAGCUCGCUGGGACGUUACUGACGCUGGAGACGCGAAAGCGUGGGGAGCAAACAGG